rnacentral:rRNA from 1 species
GAUGAACGCUAGCGGCAGGCUUAAUACAUGCAAGUCGUGGGGCAGCAUGAGUAGCAAUACUUGAUGGCGACCGGCAAACGGGUGAGGAACACGUACACAACCUUCCUUCAAGCGGGGAAUAGCCCAGAGAAAUUUGGAUUAAUACCCCAUAAUAUAUUUGAUAAGGCAUCUUAUUAAUAUUAAAGCUUCGGCACUUGAUGAUGGGUGUGCGGCUGAUUAGAUAGUUGGCGGGGUAACGGCCCACCAAGUCUACGAUCAGUAGCUGAUGUGAGAGCGAUGAUCAGCCACACGGGCACUGAGACACGGGCCCGACUCCUACGGGAGGCAGCAGUAAGGAAUAUGGACAAUGGACGAAAGUCUGAUCCAGCCAUGCCGCGUGAAGGAUUAAGGUCCUCUGGAUUGUAAACUUCUUUUAUAUGGGACGAAAAAGGGCAUUCUUGUUCACUUGACGGUACCAUAUGAAUAAGCACCGGCUAACUCCGUGCCAG